GUUAGUAGACUAUAAAUCAUGAAAUAUUUGGAUGUAUAAGAAAAAACAGCCAGAUAACGGGAAUCAGGACUGAACACCAUAGUAGCUGCCAUACGACUCAUAGAAAGCCAAAAGACGGAAUAGUGCCUUGAUGCUGAAGAAAUUGUAAAAGAAACAAUGGUGACGUCGUUGUUAUGUUAAUCAUUGUACUUCACACCAAAGGUUAUCCUCAGAAACAGCUAUUAAACUUAUGGCUAAAAGCAAAAAGAGUUGGUAGAAACCAAAGUGACGGUUAAUGACAAUGGUUGCGUAAGUUACCGCAUGAACUAGGAC